rnacentral:sRNA from 1 species
GUCGGGGCGCGCCCGGAAACCCCAAGGCCCGGACGGCUCUCAGAUCCGGCGGCUGCGGAUAAAUGGCCGUAGGCCGCGGGCAGCGAGAUGUUGCGUUCCGGUGUGGGUGUGCCUUCGACGGCGUCUCGGUGCCAGUGUCGAGGUUCUUUCUGCUUAGCUACCCAGAGCCGACUACGGAGGAGGACACCUGAGUUUACGUCUCUUCCAUCUGCUAUUCACCUCAGCUGCCUGGGUCCCCGACGAGAGCCAGGUGACACUUAACUCCGCCAUCUGCGUUUUGAGCACUGUUCUCAUAAUGGAGUUUCCUGAUUUGGGGAAGCAUUGUUCAGAAAAGACUUGCAAGCAGCUAGAUUUUCUUCCAGUAAAAUGUGAUGCAUGUAAACAAGAUUUCUGUAAAGAUCAUUUUACAUACGCUGCACAUAAGUGUCCGUUUGCAUUCCAGAAGGUAAUUGAUCCUUUGUUCAAAAGUUUCUCAUCUUCACCGUCUGAAGCUGCACUGUCUUGCUGGUAUGGUAGGGACUAGCCACGUGUGGCUAACUCAGUGAAAAUUAAAUUUUAAAAUCCAGUUUGUCAGUCCCACUAGCCUCGUUUCAGGUGCCUGCUGUUAGGCAGUACAGAGGAGCGUGUCUGCCCUCACAGGACAUUCUGUUGGGUGACUCUCAGACAACUGAAAUCUUAUUUUCAGGGACUCAUGGAGUCACUUAGUUGUAACCUUAUGUUCCAAGCUUACUUUAGAUGUUCAAAUACUUGGUUCCUUUGAUCCGUUACACCAUAGCUAUUACACCAUAGCUGUGUCUUCACCAGAUGCAAGAAAGGUUUUAAUAUUUGACUUGGAAGCCAAUCAGGAAGGCAGUAAAUAUGCUUAUUGAUUUGAAUAACUGCAGCCUUGACAUCGUAUUUAGGUGACUCCCAGAGUACACAGCAGAAACUGAAAGAGGACCUAAGGAAGUGAGCUUGCCCCGAGUCCAGAGGUUUGAGACUUCUGUUGACUUUUCAGAUGGUUCCCAGCCCGUGUUCACUUUGUCUCUGGAUGGGUCACAGGUCAUUUUAGUGAACUCUGCCACUUGACCCUGGUGG